rnacentral:rRNA from 1 species
GACGAACGCUGGCGGCGUGCUUAACACAUGCAAGUCGAACGCUGAAGCUCAGCUUUUGUUGGGUGGAUGAGUGGCGAACGGGUGAGUAACACGUGAGUAACCUGCCCCCUUCUUUGGGAUAACGCCCGGAAACGGGUGCUAAUACUGGAUAUUCACUGGUCUUCGCAUGGGGGUUGGUGGAAAGGGUUUUUCUGGUGGGGGAUGGGCUCGCGGCCUAUCAGCUUGUUGGUGGGGUGAUGGCCUACCAAGGCUUUGACGGGUUGCCGGCCUGAGAGGGUGACCGGUCACAUUGGCACUGAGAUACGGCCCAGACUCCUACGGGGGGCAGCAGUGGGGAAUAUAGCACAAUGGGCGCAAGCCUGAUGCAGCGACGCCGCGUGAGGGAUGGAGGCCUUCGGGUUGUGAACCUCUUUCGCUCAUGGUCAAGCCGCAACAAUGGUUGUGGUGAGGGUAGUGGGUAAAGAAGCGCCGGCUAACUACGUG